UUGCAAUGGUGUGGCUUUUUUGCUUAACGAAAGUGUUGUGCUUAAUGAGAGCUCAACAUGGUGGAGACCACGUUGAUCUUGAGCGGUUACCUGAGCAA